UACGUAGGGGGGCGAGCGUUGUCCGAAGUUACUGGGCGUAAAGCGCGCGUAGGCGGUUAAUUAAGUCUGUGGUGAAAGGUUCAGCGCUCAACGCGAACAUUGCCCUGGAUACUGGUUGACUUGAGUCUGGGAGGGGGGUAGUGGAAUUCCUGGUGUAGCGGUGAAAUGCGUAGAUAUCAGGAGGAACACCGGUGGCGAAGGCGACUACCUGGCCUAAGACUGACGCUGAGGUGCGAAAGCGUGGGGAGCGAACGGG
rnacentral:rRNA from 1 species